rnacentral:rRNA from 1 species
GGCUAAGCUACUAAGGGCGAUCGGUGGAUGCCUUGGUAUCAGGAGGCGAUGAAGGACGUAGUUGACUGCGAUAAGCUUCGGGAAGCUGUGUAUAAGCCUAGAUCCGAAGAUUUCCGAAUGGGGCAACCCACGCAUUUUUAUGCGUAUCCAUAACUGAAUUCAUAGGUUAUGGAGGCUAAACUAGGAGAACUGAAACAUCUUAGUAUCCUUGGAAUAGAAAGAAAACUCGAUUCCCCCAGUAGCGGCGAGCGAAAAGGGAAAAGCCCAAACCGGCUGGCUUGCCAGCCGGGGUUGUAGGACCGUUUAGAGUUUACAGCUCGGGAAGUUACCAAUCCCACUUGUAGCCGAAAUGAUCUGGAAAGGUCUUCCAUAGAGGGUGACAGACCUGUAGGCGAAACUAGUGGGACUUCCUGGAACGGCACCUGAGUAGCGCGGGACACGUGAAACCCUGCGUGAAUCUGGGAGGACCAUCUCCUAAGGCUAAAUACUACCUGAUAACCGAUAGUGAACCAGUACCGUGAGGGAAAGGCGAAAAGAACCCCGGAGGGGGAGUGAAAUAGAACCUGAAACCGAUUGCCUACAAGCUGUGGAAGGCCGCAAGGCUAACUGCGUGCAUUUUGCAUAAUGAGUCCGCGAGUUACCGUUAGUGGCGAGGUUAAGCCGAGUUAGGUGGAGCCGAAGCGAAAGCGAGUCUUAAAUGGGCGAUUUAGUCGCUAGCGGUAGACCCGAAACCAGGUGAUCUACCCAUGGCCAGGCUGAAGUUCCGGUAAAACGGAAUGGAGGGCCGAACCGGUUGAAGUUGAAAAUUCUUCGGAUGAGCUGUGGGUAGGAGUGAAAGGCUAAUCAAACCUGGAAAUAGCUGGUUCUCCUCGAAAUGUAUUUUGGUACAGCCUCGAAUGUUUUGUUACGGAGGUAAAGCACUGAAUGGGCUAGGGGUCUUACAAGAUUACCAACCCCAAUCAAACUCUGAAUGCCGUGACAUUAAGUUCGGGAGUGAGUCUCAGGGAGAUAAGUUCCUGGGUCGAAAGGGAAACAACCCAGACCACCGACUAAGGCCCCCAAGUGUAUGCUAAGUGGCAAAGGAUGUUAAAACGCACAGACAACCAGGAGGUUGGCUUAGAAGCAGCCAUCCUUUAAAGAUAGCGUAACAGCUCACUGGUCCAGUGAGUUCGCGCCGAAAAUAAUCGGGGCUAAGCAUACCGCCGAAGUCGUGGGAUCCCUGGAUAGGGAUCGGUAGAGGAGCGUUCUGUGAUAGUUUGCAAGCCAGACCGGAAGGACUGGUGUUGGAUCACAGAAGUGAUUAUGCGGACAUGAGUAGCGAUAAAACAAGUGAAAAACUUGUUCGCCGAAAGCCUAAGGUUUCCUGAGUAAAGGUAAUCUGCUCAGGGUUAGUCGAUCCCUAAGGUCAGGCCGAAAGGCGUAGCUGAUGGGAAUGAGUUUAAUAUUACUCAACCACCGUAAUCCGUCAAAGAACCACAGGGGGGACGGGGUAGUUAGGGUCAGUCAGAGACUGGAUGUUCUGAUUUUAGCCCGUAAGCCGGAGCGCAGGCAAAUCCACGCUCCACAUAGGCUGAGGGGCUAAACGUAAAUGACUUGGUCUACCUCCUAGAAAAGCCUCGGUUGGGAGGAUGAAGGUGAUCGUACCGCAAACCGACACAGGUAGGCUGGUAGAGUAUACUAAGGCGCUUGAGAUAACUCCAGUUAAGGAACUCGGCAAAAUGAUACCGUAACUUCGGGAGAAGGUAUACCUUCUGUUGUGAUUGUCAAAUUGAGCAUCGGAAGGUCGCAGAGAAAUAGGGGUAGCGACUGUUUACUAAAAACAUAGGGCUAUGCAAACUCGUAAGAGGACGUAUAUGGCCUGACGCCUGCCCGGUGCUGGAAGGUUAAGGGGAGAGGUCAUUGGGGUAACCCGAGAAGCUUUGAACCGAAGCCCCAGUAAACGGCGGCCGUAACUAUAACGGUCCUAAGGUAGCGAAAUUCCUUGUCGGGUAAGUUCCGACCCGCACGAAUGGCGUAACGAUUUCCCUACUGUCUCAACAGGAGUCUCAGUGAAAUUGUAUUAGCGGUGAAGAUGCCGUUUACCCGCAGC